rnacentral:rRNA from 1 species
CUGAUGCAGCGACGCCGCGUGAGGGAUGACGGCCUUCGGGUUGUAACCUCUUUCGCCAGGGACGAAGCUUUUGUGACGGUCCGGGAAAAGAAGCACCGGCCAACUACGUGCCAGCAGCCGCGGUAACACGUAGGUGCGAGCGUUGUCCGGAUUUAUUGGGCGUAAAGAGCUCGUAGGCGGUGUGUCGCGUCGGCCGUGAAAACUUGGGGCUUAACUCUGAGCGUGCGGUCGAUACGGGCAUCACUUGAGUUCGGCGGGGAGAAACUGGAAUUCUGGGGUGUAGCGUGGAAAAUGCGCAAAUAUCAGAGAGAAAACACCGGUGGCAAGGGCGUCUCUCUGGGCCGAUACUGACCCUGAGGAGCGAAAGCGGGGGGAGCGAACAGGAUUAUACCCCCUGGUAGUCUGCCCCGUAAACGGGGGGCGCUAGGUGUGGGGACUUUUCCGGGUUUCUGCGCCGCCUAAACAUUUAUGCGCCCCGCCUGGGGAGUACGGCCGCAGGGCUAACUUCAAG